CUACGGGGUGCUCCAGUGGGGAAUAUUGCACAAUGGGCGCAAGCCUGAUGCAGCCAUGCCGCGUGUAUGAAGAAGGCCUUCGGGUUGUAAAGUACUUUCAGCGGGGAGGAAGGGAGUAAAGUUAAUACCUUUGCUCAUUGACGUUACCCGCAGAAGAAGCACCGGCGAACUCCGUGCCAGCAGCCGCGGUAAUACGGAGGGUGCAAGCGUUAAUCGGAAUUACUGGGCGUAAAGCGCACGCAGGCGGUUUGUUAAGUCAGAUGUGAAAUCCCCGGGCUCAACCUGGGAACUGCAUCUGAUACUGGCAGGCUUGAGUCUCGUAGAGGGGGGUAGAAUUCCAGGUGUAGCGGUGAAAUGCGUAGAGAUCUGGAGGAAUACCGGUGGCGAAGGCGGCCCCCUGGACGAAGACUGACGCUCAGGUGCGAAAGCGUGGGGAGCAAACAGGAUUAGAUACCCGUGUAGUC
rnacentral:rRNA from 1 species